UCCCAGGUGGCUCAGUGGUAAAGAAUCUGGCUGCCAAGCAGGAGACCUGGGUUCAAUCCCUGGUUCAGGAA
rnacentral:tRNA from 1 species